AUUGAACGCUAGCGGCAGGCUUUACACAUGCAAGUCGAACGAGUGGCGGACAGGUGAGAAAUAUAUCGGAACGUGCCCAGUAGCGGGGGAUAACUACUCGAAAGAGUGGCUAAUCCCGCAUACUAUUGGAGCGACCGAUAUCGGAUUAGCUAGGUGGUGGGGUAAAGGCUCACCAAGGCAACGAUCAGUAGCUGGUUUGAGAGGACGACCAGCCACACUGGCACUGAGACACGGUCCAGACUCCUACGGGAGGCAGCAGGGGGGAAGUUUGGGCAAUGGGGGAAACCCUGAUCCAGCCAUUCCGCUGGUAUGAGAAGGCCUUCGGGUUGUAAAGUACUGUCAGUCGGGAGGCGGUACCUACAGAAGAAGCACAGGCUAACUCCGUGCCAGCAGCCGCGGUAAUUC
rnacentral:rRNA from 1 species